AAUGAAAUCAAGCGCACCUAAUCUCAAUUGUGAAAUUGGACCAAUGGAAAUUAUGUUCAGUGGCUUGCAGAUGUACCUAAUUAACCAGCCAGAUUAGAAGGGUCUAGGAUUACUUUGUAAGGCACAGCUAAAAAGACAAUCAGAUACAAUAAGAGGAAUCUCCUGGUAAUGCUUUCCAGCUACAAUUAGUUCUGAAUACUGGCUGUGAUUUUUGAAGUGACUUUGAGAAUUUCUUGGAUUUGUUGCCUGCUAAUUGUAGGGAUAACCUGUUAUCCUCCACCUAAAGGUAAUUAUAGCUAUAUUCCCCAAAAUAAAUUAAAAGGAACUGGCCACAAUGAAGCGGAAGCAACCGGCUCCCGUGCCUCUGCAGGUGAAGCUACCGGUUCCCGUGCCUCAGAAGCAGCCACCCACAAUGCCUCAGCAAGCGCCACGACUGGCCCAAAUACCUUGGGUGAAGCAACCGGCCACAGUGCCGCGGAACCGACCACCUAUAAUGCCUCGGCAGCGGAAACAGCCACCCAUAAUGCCUCGGCAAGUGUGGCAACUGGCCCAAAUAGCURAGGUGAAGCAACUGGCCACAAUGCUUCAUCAAGUGCCACGACUGGCCCAAAUACCUUAGGUGAAGCAACCAGCUCCCGUGCCUCGGCAGCGGAAGCAACUGGCCACAGUGCCUAUU